rnacentral:rRNA from 1 species
GAUGAACGCUGGCGGAGUGCCUAACACAUGCAAGUCGAGCGGCAGCGCGAAGAAUUUAUUCUUUGGCGGCGAGCGGCGGACGGCUGAGUAACGCGUGGGAACAUGCCCCAAAGUGAGGGAUAAGCAUCGGAAACGGUGUCUAAUACCGCAUAUGAUCUUCGGAUUAAAGGAUUUAUCCGCUUUGGGAAUGGCCUGCGUACGAUUAGAUAGUUGGUGAGGUAAAGGCUCACCAAGUCUACGAUCGUUAACUGGUUUGAGAGGAUGAUCAGUCAGACUGGAACUGAGACACGGUCCAGACUCCUACGGGAGGCAGCAGUGAGGAAUCUUCCACAAUGGACGAAAGUCUGAUGGAGCAACUCCGCGUGCAGGAUGAAGGCCUUCGGGUCGUAAACUGCUUUUAUGAGUGAAGAAUAUGACGGUAACUCAUGAAUAAGGGUCGGCUAACUACG